CUGAAUGGAGGACCGAACCGACUUACGUUGAAAAGUGAGCGGAUGAACUGAGGGUAGCGGAGAAAUUCCAAUCGAACCUGGAGAUAGCUGGUUCUCUCCGAAAUAGCUUUAGGGCUAGCCUCAAGUGAUGAUUAUUGGAGGUAGAGCACUGUUUGGACGAGGGGCCCCUCUCGGGUUACCGAAUUCAGACAAACUCCGAAUGCCAAUUAAUUUAACUUGGGAGUCAGAACAUGGGUGAUAAGGUCCGUGUUCGAAAGGGAAACAGCCCAGACCACCAGCUAAGGUCCCAAAAUAUAUGUUAAGUGGAAAAGGAUGUGGCGUUGCCCAGACAACUAGGAUGUUGGCUUAGAAGCAGCCAUCAUUUAAAGAGUGCGUAAUAGCUCACUAGUCGAGUGACACUGCGCCGAAAAUGUACCGGGGCUAAACAUAUUACCGAAGCUGUGGAUUGUCCUUUGGACAAUGGUAGGAGAGCGUUCUAAGGGCGUUGAAGCAUGAUCGUAAGGACAUGUGGAGCGCUUAGAAGUGAGAAUGCCGGUGUGAGUAGCGAAAGACGGGUGAGAAUCCCGUCCACCGAUUGACUAAGGUUUCCAGAGGAAGGCUCGUCCGCUCUGGGUUAGUCGGGUCCUAA
rnacentral:rRNA from 1 species